GACGGAGGGCGCAAGCGUUGUUCGGAAUUACUGGGCGUAAAGCGUGCGCAGGCGGUUUUGUAAGCCAGAUGUGAAAUCCCCGGGCUUAACCUGGGAAUGGCAUUUGGGACUGCAAGGCUCGAGUGCGGCAGAGGAGACUGGAAUUCCUGGUGUAGCAGUGAAAUGCGUAGAUAUCAGGAGGAACACCGAUGGCGAAGGCAGGUCUCUGGGCUGACACUGACGCUCAUGCACGAAAGCGUGGGGAGCAAACAGG
rnacentral:rRNA from 1 species